UAUUGGCAAAGCCCGCCCAUACCUUCAUCUUCAUCCUCAUUCUCUCUCUCUCUCUCUCUCUAUCUCUCUGCCCAAAAACCAUUGUCAACGAAUACAGGUAGGGUUCUCUCCACCAUUGCCGUCUAAUUUUUCAAGCUGAGACGCCGCUCCACCAUUGCUGCCGACUUCUGCAAGAUUCGUUAGGCGUUCGCUCGCUCCUGUAUCGGUCGCAAGUCCAGAAGAUCGAGUCGUCGGCAGUCAUGGCCUCUUCCCUCACCGCUGGUGGUUCCCUCUUCCCUCGCCGCCAGUCGUUCCCUUUUCCCUCGCUGCCGGUUGUUCCAGCUCUAAGUAACCCCCCCCAUUCUCUCUCUCUCUGUUCAUUCGACAUAGAUGGCGUUUGUGGCUGUUAGUAUUCCUUCCUCUCUAAUAGAGUAUUCCUUCAUCUUUCACGCACAAUACUAUUUCAUGAAAUUCAGUUUUUUAUUUUUUAUUUGGCAUUACAUUUUGCUGAUAUUAUGUUCAGUUGUUAAUUUUUUUCCAGAUUUGAUGUUAAUUUUUAUUUAACAGUUGUUAAAAUUAAAAUUUCACUCAUUGAGAUGGUGUUUAUUUCUUCAUUAAUUGAAUAUGCUUGUAUAAGUUGCAGCUGUAAGAGGGUUGUAGGGGAGGAGGGUUUAUCUUGUUAUAUUGGCUCUAUUAGCUAAGAAUCAAAUUGGUCUUGCAUACUUCAUAAUUUUUAGGUUGUUAACUUGUGCAUUCUUUCUGAUAGCAUGGUUUUAACUUACAGCUUAUGCAUCUUCUUCUAAUUCAGUAACUCUAGUCCAACAAAGAUCCCCAGUUGUGAAGGUCUAAAUAUGUUUUAAUGUCUCUAAGCCCUUCGGUGUUCUAGUUGAUCGUAUUGCACUGGGAAUACCUGUAAGUAUGAACUACUUUAAAUAUGCUUUCAGAUUUGUUACAAGAGUUGCUUUCUAAAUUAUGUAUGUGGUCAUUAAGAUGCAAUAUAUUUGAACCAAAUGGUUGGAGGAAGUAAAUCUGUGAAUUUUUUGUCUAAGUGGUUGAUGUUGGUUAUUAAGGGCUUUAGUUAGGGGUGGGAGGAUAGAAUAUUAUUGUUUAAUCAAUGUUGUUAUCUUUGCAAGAGUUAAUGGUGAAUUAAUUAUGCAAGGAUGGAGAACACCAUUGCACAUAUCAUUUCUUCAUGUCUGAGCAUCAUCUUCUCUCCUUUUAUUACAAUCAACCAUUUCUUCUUGGUGGUUCAUGCCGUGGCGCUGGAACCAGGACUAUUUUAUCUUAUUAAUACAGGUACACCUAUGGUUUUUGGCACAAUAUGCAGCAACCUUCAAAAUGGUGUAGAGUACAAGAACUCAAAGGAUGUUUUAAGAGAUGUGCAGCAUAUCUGGGAUCAGUGUCAUAAGUAUAAUAGAAAAGGCCAUGUUUUGGAGCUCAUGAAGCAGGUGAAGAAAAGUUUCACAUAGUUAUGGACAGAAGUUGGGUUAUACUGGGAACAAUUGCUUCAAUUUGUUUUUCUUUUGGGUUUCUAUUUGUAUUGUGCUGUUUCUUUUAAUUGUCCUUUGGGUUUCUGUUUCUAUAGUAUUUUCUUUUUCUUUCUGUGAUUGUAUGUUUUUGCAUCAAUGGGAGUAAAAACAAUGAGUAAAUGAUAGAAUUUUUUCUGAAGAUUUUGUACUUUUGUAUUAGACUUGCAGAUGAAUUCAACCCUUUUUCUGUUGAAAUUGGUUGAAAGUUGCUGUAAUUUAUCAACAGCUGAAAGUUGCUGUUUAAAGCCCCGAUUUUACUGAGAGAAUAACUGGUCUCUUACGGCUAUAUUGAAUGUUUUCAGUAGCCGCUUUCACUUUUGUGUGUGAUCGGUUAUUAAGGUUCUGAGAUUGUGUUGGUGAAUUUUGCAAUCAUGUUAACAAUUCUGACCUAGCAUUUCAACU